rnacentral:rRNA from 1 species
UACGGGGGGAGCAAGCGUUGUUCGGAUUUACUGGCGUAAAGGGCGCGUAGGCGGCCACCGCAAGUCGACUGUGAAAUCUCCGGGCUUAACCCGGAAGGUCAGCCGAUACUGCGGGGCGUAGAGUGCAGAAGGGGCAACUGGAAUUCUCGGUGUAGCGGUGGAAAUGCGUAGAUAUCGAGAGGAACACCUGCGGCGAAGGCGGCGAUCCUGGACCAUUACUGACGCUGAGGCGACGAAAGCUAGGGGAGCAAACGGG